UACGGAGGGUGCAAGCGUUAUCCGGAUUCACUGGGUUUAAAGGGUGCGUAGGUGGGGAUGUAAGUCAGUGGUGAAAUCUCCGUGCUUAACAUGGAAACUGCCAUUGAUACUAUGUUUCUUGAAUUUUCCGGAGGUAAGCGGAAUAUGUCAUGUAGCGGUGAAAUGCUUAGAUAUGACAUAGAACACCAAUUGCGAAGGCAGCUUACUACAGGGAUAUUGACACUGAGGCACGAAAGCGUGGGGAUCAAACAGG
rnacentral:rRNA from 1 species